CUGGCGGCGUGGAUCAGACAUGCUAGUCUCACGAGAAUCCGGGGGCAACUCCGGUAGUAAAGUGGCGAAAGGGCGAGUAAUCCAUGAUCAAUCUACCCCUUUGACGGGAAUAACGGAUGGAAACGGCCGCUAAGACCCGAUAAGCCAACGAUAAGGCAUCUUAUUGUUGGGAAACGGUUGGGAUCUUCGGACCUUCUGCUUAGGGAAGGGAUCAUGUCCUAUUAGCUAGUUGGUGGGGUUACGGCCCACCAAGGCUGUGAUGGGUAGCCGGCCUGAGAGGGUGGUCGGCCGCAUUGAGACUGAGACACGGCUCAGACUCCUACGGGAGGCAGCAGUCGAGAAUCUUCCGCAAUAGGCGAAAGCCUGACGGAGCGACGCCGCGUGGAGGAUGAAGGCCUUCGGGUUGUAAACUCCUGUCACCCGUUAAGAAUUGCAGGGCGUUAAUAGCGUUCUGCUUGACUAAGGCGGGAAAGGAAGCACCGGCUAACCCUGUGCCAGCAGCCGCGGUAAGACAGGGGGUGCAAGCGUUGCUCGGAAUCAUUGGGCGUAAAGCGCACGUAGGUGGUUGCGUAAGUCGGGUGUGAAAGCCCUCAGCUUAACUGAGGAACUGCGCCCGAUACUGCGUGGCUCGAGGAUGGGAGGGGAGAGUGGAAUUCCUGGUGGAGCGGUGAAAUGCGUAGAUAUCAGGAGGAACACCGGUGGCGAAGGCGACUCUCUGGUCCAUUCCUGACACUGAGGUGCGAGAGCUAGGGGAGCAACGGGAUUAGAUACCCCGGUAGUCCUAGCUGUAAACGAUGGGCACUAGAUAGAGGGAUUCUAUGCGUCUCUCUGUCGGAGCUACGCGUUAAGUGCCCC
rnacentral:rRNA from 1 species